rnacentral:rRNA from 1 species
CAGUCGCCGCGGGAACACGUAGGGUGCGAGCGUUAAUCGGAGUUACUGGGCGUAAAGCGUGCGCAGGCGGUUCGUUAAGACAGAUGUGAAAUCCCCGGGCUUAACCUGGGAACUGCAUUUGUGACUGGCGAGCUAGAGUAUGGCAGAGGGGGGUAGAAUUCCACGUGUAGCAGUGAAAUGCGUAGAGAUGUGGAGGAAUACCGAUGGCGAAGGCAGCCCCCUGGGCCAAUACUGACGCUCAUGCACGAAAGCGUGGGGAGCAAACAGGAUUAGAUACCCCUGUAGUCCCUGUCUCUUAUAC